UACAGAGGUCCCAAGCGUUGUUCGGAUUCAUUGGGCGUAAAGGGUGCGUAGGCGGCGCGGUAAGUCGGGUGUGAAAUUUCGAGGCUUAACUUCGAAACUGCAUUCGAUACUGCCGUGCUUGAGGACUGGAGAGGAGACUGGAAUUUACGGUGUAGCGGUGAAAUGCGUAGAUAUCGUAAGGAAGACCAGUGGCGAAGGCGGGUCUCUGAACAGUUCCUGACGCUGAGGCACGAAGGUCAGGGGAGCAAACGGG
rnacentral:rRNA from 1 species